UGUCAUUUACAUCUUUUGAAACUAGGGCCAGGCUUUUGACUCUUCUUCCUGGUAAGUUUAAGGAAUACUCUAUUGCCGGGAAGGUUGCAUCCCUACUAAACAACUCUUCUUCUGUGAUUUUAAAUUCUGUAUCUAGGUUCCUUUUAGGAACUUUGGAAUAAUACCUGUGGUGGUUUCAUGUAUGGAA